GAGUAAUGUCUGGGAAACUGCCUGAUGGAGGGGGAUAGCUACUGGAAACGGUAGCUAAUACCGCAUAAUGUCGCAAGACCAAAGAGGGGGACCUUCGGGCCUCUUGCCAUCGGAUGUGCCCAGAUGGGAUUAGCUUGUUGGUGGGGUAAUGGCUCACCAAGGCGACGAUCCCUAGCUGGUCUGAGAGGAUGACCAGCCACACUGGAACUGAGACACGGUCCAGACUCCUACGGGAGGCAGCAUG
rnacentral:rRNA from 1 species